UUAAUGUGGCAGAGCAUGGUAAAUGCAAAAGACCUAAAUCCUUUACAAUCAGAGGUUCAAAUCCUCUUAUUAAC
rnacentral:tRNA from 1 species